GCUGGGAGUGGUGGCACAUGCCUGUAAUCCCAGUUACUUGGGAGGCUGAGGCAGGAGGAUUACAAGUUUGAGGUCAGCCUCAGCAACUAAGCAGACCCUGACUCAA
rnacentral:sRNA from 1 species